rnacentral:rRNA from 1 species
GAUGAACGCUGGCGGCGUGCCUAAUACAUGCAAGUCGAGCGAACGGACGAGAAGCUUGCUUCUCUGAUGUUAGCGGCGGACGGGUGAGUAACACGUGGAUAACCUACCUAUAAGACUGGGAUAACUUCGGGAAACCGGAGCUAAUACCGGAUAAUAUUUUGAACCGCAUGGUUCAAAAGUGAAAGACGGUCUUUCUGUCACUUAUAGAUGGAUCCGCGCUGCAUUAGCUAGUUGGUAAGGUAACGGCUUACCAAGGCAACGAUGCAUAGCCGACCUGAGAGGGUGAUCGGCCACACUGGAACUGAGACACGGUCCAGACUCCUAGGGGAGGCAGCAGUAGGGAAUCUUACGCAAUGGGCGAAAGCCUGACGGAGCAACGCCGCGUGAGUGAUGAAGGUCUUCGGAUCGUAAAACUCUGUUAUUAGGGAAGAACAUAUGUGUAAGUAACUGUGCACAUCUUGACGGUACCUAAUCAGAAAGCCACGGCUAACUACGUG